CUGUGAUCCGCACUUCACCUGGAUGUCUGCCAGCUAUUAUGGUCUCCUAAGAUGGCAGACAUCAAAAGAUGCCACCUUCAUUUAGACUGGGCCUUCCCACUUCAUCUAACCUAAUCAAGAAAAUUUCUUCAAGUAACUGAUGAAGAAAAUGUCUGACAGCUUACCUCUUGGUUGUUUACAGAUCCAGGACCACUUGCCCUAGGAUGUCACCAUUAACCAAGAAAAUGCACGACAGACUUGCCAAUCUAAUGAGGAGAAUUUCUCAAUUGAAGCUCCUUCCCUGAUGACACAAGUGCAGAUUGACUUCAAGGCUCUUGGAAGAUUGGAAAAGGACAAAAAGACCCAGUAACAUGUUUGGACUUGAAAAUCAGAACAAGCAGGCAAUCUGUAGAGCUAUCUUGGAAAUAAGCUAUGAAAAGAUAACAUCCCCACCUUGUGAUCUUGGCAGAACCCUUCCUACACUGCUGAGUGGUAGUGGUGCAUGUCUUUAAUCUCAUCACUUGGGAAGCAGAGGCGGGAAGAACUCUGUGAGUUCGAGAACAUCCUGGUCUGCAGAGCAAGUUCCAAGACAGGCUCCAAAGCUACACAAAGAAACUCUGUCUCUAAAAACCAAAC
rnacentral:lncRNA from 1 species